CACUUAAUCUUGCCUCAUUUGUGGUAACUCCAUUAAUAUCUAAUUUCCUCAUCAAUCUUUAACAAGCUGUAUUAUCUAUAUAAUGGUUAAACUCUUGGAUUGUUUAACACAUGUGAUCAAGACUCAUCUUCAAUUUUUGAUCUAAAUUGAAAGGUGUUACGAAAUGAAGCUUCAAAGUGUUGCGGUAAUACUUAUAAUCACAACCAUAUGUGUGACUGGCAAUAUGAAAGCUUUGGGAGUGAAUAUAGAAGAGAAGCAUGGAACCCCCCAACCUAAAGAAAUUGAAUAUGAAAGUGCUCCAUUAUCUUCUACCUAUUCUCACCAUGAGAUUCCUUUGUAUAAAUAUGUCCCUCCAUAAGAAAAUAGCACUAUAAGAGAAAAAAAAUUAAAUGGGCUAAUAUAUGUACAAGUAUGAAAUAAUAAAUUAUCAAUGAUCUUUAGUCUUGCUAACGUUGUGGCUGUGUUAUGUACGCAUGUAGAUUAGUAGUUCUCACCUUGUGGUGUAGGAUUCGUUUCACUGGCUUGGGAGAUUGUGCUACUUAUACAUGGCUAAUAUGGGUAUGUUUUACAUGUCUUGUACGAGUCUUACCUUAUAUUAGAGACAUGUACUUUUAAACAAUACGUACGUAUUAGUAUUUGUUGGAAUAACGUCCUUUUGUAAUUAAUUAUUAAACAGUGGCAAGGCUUUACUACUUACAAGCUAAGUCCUAUUAAAAAAUGUUACAAAGUUUA